GGUAAUAUAUAUAAAGUCUAACCUGCCCACUGAUUUAUUUAACGGCCGCAGUAAUUUGACUGUGCAAAGGUAGCAUAAUCAUUAGUUUUUUAAUUAAAAGCUUGUAUGAAAGGUUGGACGAGGUAAAAACUGUCUCUAUUUAAUUUAAAAUAGAAUUUAAUUUUUAAGUUAAAAAGCUUAAAUUUUUAUAAAAGACGAGAAGACCCUAUAGAUUUUUAUAAUUUUAUUAAUAUAAUAUUUUAAGAUUAAUUUUAAUUUUAUUAAUAAUAUUAUUUUAUUGGGGUAAUAGAAAGAUUAAAGAAAUUCUUUUUUAAUUUAAACAUUUAUUUAUGAUUAAAUGAUCCAAUUUUAUUGAUUAAAAGAUUAAAUUACCUUAGGGAUAACAGCGUAAUUUUUUUAAAGAGUUCAUAUCGAUAAAAAAGUUUGCGACCUCGAUGUUGGAUUAAAGAUUAAUUUAGGUGUAGAAGUUUAAAUUUUUGGUCUGUUCGACCAUUAAAUCUUUACGUGAUCUGAGUUCA
rnacentral:rRNA from 1 species